AUUUCAUAAUCAGGGCGGAGUGGGAAUGUGCAUACUAUAAAAGUUGUGACAACCCCACAAUUCUCACUCCUGCAAGAUUCUGUUAGUUGUUCUGUGUUUCGUGAAGCAGUUAUUCAAGAAUAUAAUCAAAACAUGGAGAAUCUACUCAACUCUGAUCUUAUAAAACAAUUCACUCAACAUGCUUUGUUGGAGGGUAGUCCAGGCUCGCUGAGCAUUGCUGGAGUGAAAAGCCUGAUUCAAGCUCAAUUUUUAAACAUGAUUAAGAAAGAAUUCUCUAUUGAGAAUGUAACUAAAAUGAUGGAUAAAAAUAAUGAUGGAAGAGUCAACCUUGAUGACUUUUUAUCCGUUAUGAAGAGUGUCAUGAAGACAAACCA